UGCUGAAUGUGAUGUGAAGGUCAAGGUUAUUUCAAUCACACAGCUGCCACAGAUGACCAUAAGACUAUAGUAAAGGCCAGUAGAGAUCUGUCACAUCAAGUUACAGGAAUUAACUUGGAUAGUCUAGAUGACCACAACAGUAUGGCCAGUGUAGAGGAUAGUCUAGAUGACCACAACAGUAUGGUCAGUGGAGAGGAUAGUCUAGAUGACCACAACAGUAUGGCCAGUGAAGGAGACAUCUCAACAUAUUUUACAGGUACACAUGAAGUACAAGAAUGUCUUGAAGGUCAAGGUGAGGUAGAUCUACACACACACCUUGCAAACUGUGAGAAAAAUCCUGGCCAUAAAAACUUUGUACCUGUAAAUCAGUU